rnacentral:rRNA from 1 species
UAACACGUGAGCAACCUGCCUUUCAGAGGGGGAUAACAGUUGGAAACGACUGCUAAUACCGCAUAACGCUGCGAUGGGGCAUCCCGAUGCAGCCAAAGGAGCAAUCCGCUGAAAGAUGGGCUCGCGGCCGAUUAGCUAGUUGGUGGGGCAACGGCCCACCAAGGCGACGAUCGGUAGCCGGACUGAGAGGUUGAUCGGCCACAUUGGGACUGAGACACGGCCCAAACUCCUACGGGAGGCAGCAG